rnacentral:rRNA from 1 species
UACAGAGGUCUCAAUCGUUGUUCGGAAUCACUGGGCGUAAAGGGUGUGUAGGCGGCGUGAAAAGUCAGAUGUGAAAUCCAGGAGCUCAACUUCUGAAAUGCAUCCGAUACUGUCAUGCUGGAGGUCUGUAGAGGAGUCUGGAAUUCUCGGUGUAGCAGUGAAAUGCGUGGAUAUCAGGAGGAACACCGGUGGCGAAGGCGGGUCUCUGGGCCGAAAUUGACGCUGAGGAGCGAAAGCGUGGGGAGCAAACAGG